GGAGUGUGCAUUGCCGGUGGCGAGCCAGCGCACAGGGGCCUGGACCAGCGAUGCACGGGGGCCAAUGGUGAAAUGCUCCCCUUCCUCCCCAGGACUGUUCUCAGACACACUCCCAAAGGCAGAAAGAGGAGCUGACUCAAUAUCCCACCCCACCUCUGUCAGCUCUGCCUCCCCAGCCUUACUCCUGCCCCUGGGUUCCCUCCGGGGUUGACAGCCUGCAUCUGGCUGGGGUCAGGCUCUGCUCUCUGGGGACUGGAGCCAGAAGACGUGGCAAGGGUCCGGGUUAGCAAAUGGGGCAGAGUCGGAGGCCCAGGACGUGAUGACAGUGCUGAGCUGUUUGCAUUGGUGCCAGACUAAGGGAGACCUUCCGGGAUGGUGUGGGUGUGGUUUUGUGGGCAGGCAAGGCAGGGCCAUGGUCUUAGCUGUAUCAGCACUGUGCUGCAGGGUGAGAAAGGAUGGGCAAGGCAUCAACCCUUCAAGUGCAUCAACAACAUCCCCACAUCCAGUUGUAGUCAGAGAGCAAAACUGUCAAGGACAGUGGCUGGACAGGCAUAGGGAAAGUCCAGGAAGGUGUCACCCACUGACUUCUUCUCUCCAUGCGGGUGUUCAUGGCCACAGUAGGGACCAGUACCAGAGCUCCUGGGCAUCCCCAGCAGUUCCUUGCUAAGGGGAUCAUGGUGGCAAGUCCAGGGAGAGCUCUGACCUCAACACAGGGGCAGAACACUUGGGACCCACCCACAGUACCUUGUGAUGUUCUAGGGACCAUCGAAAAGAUAAAAAAGAAACUGAUUCAGCCAAAUAAUUAGUUGUUUUCUUCUGUGCUACUAUUGCAAAGUGUUAACUAUUUUUUAAACUUGAUAUUUUGAAAUAAUUUUAGAUUUAUAGCUGAGUUGCAGGCGUAGUACAAAGUUCCCAAAUACCCUUUACCCAGUUUCCCCAAAUGUUAGCAACUUACAUAGCUAUGUGACAUUGAUCAAAACUAAGAAUUCACCCUUGUGCAAUGCCAUUUACUCAAUGACACACUUCAGUUGGGUUUCACCAGUUUUUCCACCAAUGUAAUUUUUCUAUUUCAGAAUUGAAUCCAGGUUGCCCUGCAGUAUUCAGUCAUCAUGUCUCUCUCAAUCUUUCAUUUGUCACUCAGUCUUUCCUUGUUUUUCAUGACUUUGAACUUUACAACUGUACAUUUACUAACUUUUAAAAACUGAGCUGGCUGAAAACUAGGUUGGUGGUUUUAUUUCUGGGACUGUGCAGACGCAGUGAUGAUUUGGUCAUUCUGGUACAGGACAGUCAAGGACAUCUAUGGUUUUCCUGGGCAUGGUGCAUUGCUCAAGAUUUCCAAAGCCAAACUGCAUGUCACAGUUCUAUGUACAUGUGCCUUGAUGCACUUCUUGGACUGGUGCUCCUGUGAAAACAGACAGCAGUAGGGUGCUAGGACUGCAGCUGAACUUGGUGAUGGUUGUCCUGAAUGCUUGUGCUUUGGUAGAAAGGGCCCAUUUGAGUCCCGACAAACCUACUCACUCCAGCAUGACACAAUGUGGCUCUCCCUCCUCCCUCCUCUCUCCUCCCUGUACUUGUGUGGCUCGGCCCACUCCUCCUAGAGGAUUUCCUGUUGGCUUAUGCUCCCAUGCGGGUGUCCAACUGGUGGCUCAAUGCCAGUCUAGGCUGGGUGUGAUGUUCCCUUCCGGGCCUUAUCACGCUGCCACACAUGGGUGUCCAGGCCUUCCUGUGCCCCCUGCACAGACGCAGCCCCAUGGCACUGACCGAGAGCAGCUCCUUGGGUUGCAGAAUUGAUUCCUCCAUCUCCUUUUGGAGUAAGUGUUGCUCUCCACAUGAAUGGAUUCAAGGAGAUUCAAAACCCAGGUCACUGCUGCCAUCUUCCUAGAAUCCCCUUAAAUCCUCAUGGAUUUGCUGACAUUGGGAGCAUCCUGAAAGCAUCCCCAUGCUAAGGUGGCUGCAGUAACAGGUACAGUGAGAAAUGAUGGUUCUCCCCCCUCCAAAAAAAAUCAAAUCAGAUUGUGAAUUUAUUCCCUGACAUUAACACGUGGCAUUACAGGAGCAUGUACAUCACAUGGUCAAUUUAUUGGCAUGAGGAUUAUAUCAUCGGGGAAUAAAUGGGAAAUUCUCAAGGUACUUUGUUCCAGUAAUCAGGACUUUAUUUAUCUCUAAGCUAAAAGAGGGGAUUGAAUUCUUUAAUGAUGAUCAGAAAAUGCUUUUAGGAAGAUUCCUUUCCUAUUAAACAAUUUCUUAAAGUUGCAGUAAAUGUUAUGUGGCCUGUCCAUUCCCAAGGAAGCCUGUAGAGGGCUUGGCAGCACACUUUCCUUUGUCUUCAAAACCAUUGGAAAGAAUGUCACAGGAGUCGUGGAGGAAAAAUAAUUACAAAGAGGAAAAGGUUAAUCAAGGGGCAGUUAAUGUUACUGAUGACAUAUUGGUAAGGUUCUCCAGGCCCAAUUCCUUUUGGGGGACUUUGGCUUCCCAAGCAAAUGCCACUUGGUGAUAUGGCUCCCAACACUGGCCACCUGAGUGUUCCCUACACUACUGGAGAAAUUUAGGCCUUAAAUUAAAAUCAGAGUCAUGCAACUUGAUUAUAUUUUGGCAGUUUGAUUUAAGUGCAAGUUCUUUGAGAUGUAAGAAUGUGGUUGGUUUUUAGUGAUGUAAACUAAAAGGUCUGGUACUUCCAGGAAGCCCAGCCCUGGAAGGCCUGUAGGCUUCCAGUGAGAAAACUGGAGACCACACUCACUCGUCUCACUGCCCUUUCUUUGGGGCUGCCUGUGAUACCGGGUUAUUCCCCUCCCUGCGUGCCACUGUGCUUACCCUGUUGGAAUAUGAUGGUGGACUUGCCAGAGGAGAGGACCAUGCUUUUCAGGAACAGCAGUCCCCUCCUUACUGGUUGAGGCAGCCAGCAGGCACCCCUAUCCAUGAGCCACAGCUUAGCUAAGGCAACCCAGUCCAGCUGCGUGCCCUCUCUCUGCUUCUGGGGAGGUUGGAAGGACCGGGGCAUUCAUGCUUGUUUCUAGGGGCCCUUACUGGAUCUCUGGAUCAAGACCUACUCAGGGCAGAAAGACUCUACUCUGGGUUCCAUGUUAGGACUAACGGAUGCAUCUUUACUCAGAUGCAGACAGUGGACAAUUAAAACUCUGACCUGAGAGUCAGCCACAGCCUUGGUACUCAUAAAUGCUCUGCUUGGUCCUUCACAUUUGUGAACCAUACAGGGGAAGCUAAGUUGUGAGCAGUGCACCUUCACAAGCAAAGCCUCGACUGAAAUAUUCUGUAACAAUUGGCUGGUCACUCCUAAGCGUAAUCUACCCCUUUCAGAACACUGGGGACGACUUUAGAGACAUCGAAGCCUCCUGAUGAGAAAUAGUGUCCACUCACUGGGAGAACUGAAAUAUCAGCGGAUUUCUACGCAAAUCUCACAGAGUCCUUCUGGUGUCCUAGGGAUUUGCUCACAUAUAAGGGACUUUCUGGUAGGAAGAGAGUCUCUUUACAUUCUUUAUUAUAUGAUCCUGGUGGCUUUGUAGAGAGAUGGUACAGCUGAAAGAUCAUGCCCUGGGGCGCCAGUGUGUGUGUGAAUGCUCUGUGACCUUGGGCUAACUGCUUAGCCUCUCUGAGCCUUAGCUGCAUCAGCUUUGAAAAAGAGGAUGAUAAAAUGGAGUCACCUUAUUUGACUUUUAUAAAUACAAUGACACAAGUUAUGGGGAUGGGAAGAGAGUAGGUGAAAGAGAAAUGAGAGAGAGAGAGAGAGAGAGAGAGAGAAAGAGAGUGAGAAUGAAUGAUAAACAAUGUAAACAACAGUGGGGAGUGGACCAACGCCCAGCCUGGCAAGCGUGAGCCCAGACAGCCUUCCCUCCUGGCUAUUGGCAGCCUCCGCAUGGAAGUCUGUCGUUGCCUUCUUAAUGAUGAGAGAUGUUCUGGGGGCACUCCAGGAUUCCUGGACAUGGGAUCAUCUUCACAGCUGUGUCUAUUGAAAGCUGAAGUUUCAGUCUCCCCGCUCCCCUCCCUCCCCGAGUGACUUCCCAGGGGAAAUUCAAGGGCACCUGUGACUGCAUGACUGCUUUCCUUUCCUUUACUCAAUGCCGUCCUCUGGUGAGAGCCGUGUCUCAUGCCAGGAUACAUGAGGUGCUCUGUAGUAGUGUGUUUUCCCUCCUGGGUGGUAGUUUUAUUUAAAUUUGAAGUCAUAAGGAUCACUAAAUAGAACCAUGAGGCAACCACUCUGGGCACCUGCUGGGGAUAUCCACAAGAGCUGACCACAGGUGCCCCCUGCGCCCAGCAAGUCCUUGGCUGGACAGUCACGCAACAGGCAUGGGGAUGUGUGGCCGCCAAGCCCUCCAGGGCAGAGCUGUUUGUAAUAGUCCCAAAUGGGAGAGAUGGCAAAUGCCCACCAAUGGGGCAGCAUGGAUAAAUGGAUACCACACAUCUACGGUGAUGAGUGAGCCCCAGCACCUGUGAGUUCACCAGCGUAAUGUUGGGUGGAAGAAGCCAGGAGGAAGGGCAUUCACAUUCUACGAUUCCAGCUACACUACGUUCAAAAACGGACAGAGCUAGGCUGUGGUGCUGGAAGCCAGGACAGUGGGAUCCUUGCAUGUGGGGGGUGGUGCUGGUAGGUUCUGGUAAUUUUCUCUUCUUGAUCUGGGUGUAAACAUUUUGUGAAAAUUCAAUGAGCUGUACAUUUAUGAUUGGUACAUUUAUGAUUUUGUAUGAAUAUUAUACUUUCAUAAAAACUCCUUUAAAAAUAUGA